GGUGGAGAUGUUGAAAGUGAUUGAGUGCGAAAGAUGCCGGUGUAAACAACAAGAAUCAGCAUCAGAACAGGCAGGGCCUCUAGCGUCAGCAGCGGAAAUGGGUUUACAAACGGGAAGAUGCCUGGAGCUGGGGGGACGACGGGCUGGAGACGGUCAGGCCGGACAGCAGUUCGAAGACGAGCUGGGCAAACAAGGAGUCCUUGUCAAACUUCUGGUGGAUCUAUCUUGGUACAGUUCGUUUUUGGUCUGGAUGUUCCAGACAGCGAGGGUCACUCGUAGGUUAGGACAAAGAUCGAUGCUUUGAACAAGCUUCCGGACUCGGUCCGGUCAACGAACGGACCCUACAACCUGAAACUCGGUCUGGCCACUUUAGUUAUCGGUGUUGCGGAAUCUUAGUUCUUCAGUGUUGGUCGUACUGGUUCUUGAAGGGAGGAAGUUAGAACUACUGAUGUUUCAACACCGACUCAAACAACGCGUAAACAUCGUUCUGAAAUUUAAUCUGCAGUUGAUUUUGGAACUUCACGAAAAAACUGUUCUGACUGGGAAUAGAAAAGAUAAACAAACGGGAUGACAGCAAAAAAAAAAUUGCACGCUGCAGGAGAAUACGUAAGAAAUCUCCACACAAAAAACAAUACACGUUAUGGAGAUGUUGGUCAAUAAACCAAACUAAACUCUUGUUUUGUUCGGUAUUCUUAAAAAAAACGUGUACCUCAGUGCUAUGGUUGGUGUCUUGGAUAACAAG